rnacentral:rRNA from 1 species
GACGAACGCUGGCGGCGCGCUUAACACAUGCAAGUCGAGCGAAGCGGCGGACGGGUGAGUAACCCGUGAGUAACCUGCCUGAGACAUUGGGAUAGCCUCGGGAAACCGGGAUUAAUACCAAAUGGUCUAAGAUGGACUCGCGGCCCAUUAGCUAGUUGGUGGGUAACGGCCCACCAAGGAGCCGAUGGGUAGCCGGACUGAGAUGGUGAACGGCAACAUUGGAACUGAGAACCGGUCCAAACGCUACGGGAGGCAGCAGUGGGGAAUAUUGCACAAUGGAGGGAACUCUGAUGCAGCGACGCCGCGUGAACGAAGAAGGCUUUCGAGUCGUAAAGUUCUUUUAUAUGGGAAGCGGUACCAUAAGAAAAAGCCCCGGCUAACUACGUGCCAGCAGCCGCGGUAAUUC